rnacentral:rRNA from 1 species
AGCUUUUGAGCUAAAUAUAUUAUAAUAUUAGUUAUUUUUAUGAAGUGUUGUAAAACUUUAUUAAAAAAUAUAUUUAGGGGUGAUAGGCUAUUCAAAAACUAAGAUAUCUUGAAUCUAAUUAAAAGUAUGUAGUACAUUUAACACGACUAUUAAGUGAUUAGGCUUAAUAGAAAUAUUAACUUUUUUAAAGAAUUUUAUAUUAUAAUUUAAUAACUAAAUUUUAAAAUAAAUUAUUAUUCAUAUAUAUAAAUAUUAUAAGGAGUAAUUAGAUAAUUUUUAGUUAAUUUAUAUAUGUAAUAAUGUUAAUAUUAGUAUAUAUUUUUAUAUUUAUAUAAUGAACUCGGCAAAAAUGUAUUUCUCAACUGUUUAUCAAAAACAUAACUAUGUGUGAUAAUACAUAGCGGUUUCUGCUCAAUGAUUUAAUUAAAUAGCCGCAGUAUUCUGACUGUGCAAAGGUAGCAUAAUCAAUUGACUUAUAAUUGAAGUCUAGAAUGAAUGAAAAUAAUGGGAAGCCACUAUAUAUUGUAAAUAUAUAUAAUUUAUUUAUGAAGUGAAAAUACUUCUAUUGACAUAAUAGACGAGAAGACCCUAGAAAUUUUUAGUAAUUAUAAUUUAUAUUUGAGAAAUUUUUUGUUGGGGCGACAAAGUAGCAAAUUAACCUACUUAAGUUAACUUGCACUUUUUAUAUUGUUUGAAGAAAUUACUCUAGGGAUAACAGCAUAAUAUUUUAAAAGUUUAUGACCUCGAUGUUGGAUUAGGAAAUAAUAACUUAAAAGGUUUUUUAUAUAGCUCUGUUCGAGCAUUAAACUCCUACAUGAUC